UUUGUUAAAUGAAUGAUGGGAAUUUAAACCUCUUCCAGAGUAUCAAUUGGAGGGCAAGUCUGGUGCCAGCAGCCGCGGUAAUUCCAGCUCCAAUAGCGUAUAUUAAAAUUGUUGCAGUUAAAAAGCUCGUAGUUGAAUUUCUGCUGCAUUGCUUGUGUCCCUCUGGGGUCUGUGCAUGUGGCUUUUUUCGGACGGAGUUUCUUUGUCUGAAUGUUUACUUUGAGAAAAUUAGAGUGCUCAAAGCAGGCUUUCGCCUUGAAUAGUUUAGCAUGGAAUAAUAAAGUAGGACUUUGGUUCUAUUUUGUUGGUUUUAGGUACCAAAGUAAUGGUUAAUAGGAACAGUUGGGGGCAUUCGUAUUUAACUGUCAGAGGUGAAAUUCUUAGAUUUGUUAAAGACGAACUACUGCGAAAGCAUUUGCCAAGGAUGUUUUCAUUAAUCAAGAACGAAAGUUAGGGGAUCGAAGACGAUCAGAUACCGUCGUAGUCCUA
rnacentral:rRNA from 1 species